ACGAACGCUGGCGGCGUGCUUAACCCAUGCAAGUCGAACGGAAAGGCCCUGCUUUUGUGGGGUGCUCGAGUGGCGAACGGGUGAGUAACACGUGAGUAACCUGCCCUUGACUUUGGGAUAACUUCAGGAAACUGGGGCUAAUACCGGAUAGGAGCUCCUGCUGCAUGGGGGGGGUUGGAAAGUUUCGGCGGUUGGGGAUGGACUCGCGGCUUAUCAGCUUGUUGGUGGGGUAGUGGCUUACCAAGGCUUUGACGGGUAGCCGGCCUGAGAGGGUGACCGGCCACAUUGGGACUGAGAUACGGCCCAGACUCCUACGGGAGGCAGCAGUGGGGAAUAUUGCACAAUGGGCGGAAGCCUGAUGCAGCAACGCCGCGUGCGGGAUGACGGCCUUCGGGUUGUAAACCGCUUUCGCCUGUGACGAAGCGUGAGUGACGGUAAUGGGUAAAGAAGCACCGGCUAACUACGUG
rnacentral:rRNA from 1 species